rnacentral:rRNA from 1 species
AUUGAACGCUGGCGGCACGCCUUACACAUGCAAGUCGAACGGCAGCACGGGUGCUUGCACCUGGUGGCGAGUGGCGAACGGGUGAGUAAUACAUCGGAACGUACCUUAUCGUGGGGGAUAACGCAGCGAAAGCUGUGCUAAUACCGCAUACGCCCUGAGGGGGAAAGCGGGGGAUCGCAAGACCUCGCGCGACUAGAGCUGCCGAUGCCUGAUUCGCUUGUUGGUGGGGUAAAAGCCCACCAAGGCGACGAUCAGUAGCUGGUCUGGGAGGACGAUCAGCCACACUGGGACUGAGACACGGCCCAGACUCCUACGGGAGGCAGCAGUGGGGAAUUUUGGACAAUGGGGGCAACCCUGAUCCAGCAAUGCCGCGUGAGUGAAGAAGGCCUUCGGGUUGUAAAGCUCUUUUGUCAGGGAAGAAACACCGGCUCUAACACAGUCUGGGAAUGACGGUACCUGAAGAAUAAGCACCGGCUAACUCCGUGCCAGCCGCCGCGGUAA